AAAAACUGCUUUCUGAUCUGAGGGCACUCACAUCUGGAAGUCCUGGACACCAGAGACCACCCCCCCUACCUUCCCCUCCACCCCCAGUUGCCCAAGAGUGCCAGGUCUUGGGCUGGCAGAAUCUCAGACAUCAGGGUCCUGAGCCCACAUCCCAGAGGAGUCACGGGUUGGGGGGGAGGUAGGUGUUGGGUGUGUGUGUGUGCGCGCGCGUGUGUGUGCGCGCGCGCACGCUGCACUGGCCUUGUCCCCUUCCCUACUUGACCAAGCAUCCCUCUCUCAGCGUCUGGGGUGAGGGCCGGGCGGCAAUUAACUGACACUUCCCCAACGAACGCGAAGUUUAGUCCAGAAACUGUUCGCUCAGAACCACCCCCAGAACAGGCCAGCUAGAGGACGACGGCAGGAGUGGAGAGGGAUCGGGGUAGGACUCCGCGGUGAGGGGCUGGCAGGGAAUACGAAGAAGGCUGGAUUUCUCCUAACUGGCCACUGCAGCUGAGUUUUACAUUUCCAGAGAAAGAAUGAAACCAAAUUCCCAAGAAAGCUCUCUGGCCCCUCUUUGGUUAGGUACCCACCCCUGAACCAACCACGUGUGGCCAGCUGGCAGAGCUCUGUAGGAACAUGGCAGCCAUCUCAGGAAGCAUCUUGAAGAAGGUAAACAGGAUAAGCUCCCAGAAGAAGUAAGGGAUGUUUUGGGGCAAAUAACCUCAGAGAUGUCCAUGCAGAUUUAUUUCUGAUGACCUCUGGGCCUUCCUUCUAACUCUUCAUUCCCCUCUCUCUGCACAUAUUAAAGAAUGUGAUGGUGACAUGUGAUAUGGAAUUGACUUUAGAAGAUCAAUCUCCACCACUGGCUGACCCUUUGACCCCGACACUUAAGUUAUCCUUUGUGAGCCUGAGUUUCCCUGACUGUAAGACAAGGUUAGUCGUCUGCCCCUCAGGGUUGCUGAAAUAAUCCAAUAAAACCAUGGUUAUAAAAGUGCUAGCACAUAGCAUGCCCUCCAU